rnacentral:misc_RNA from 1 species
GAUGAAGAACGUAGCGAAAUGCGAUAAGUAAUGUGAAUUGCAGAAUUCAGUGAAUCAUCGAAUCUUUGAACGCACCUUGCGCCCUUUGGCCAUUCCGAAGGGCAUGCCUGUUUGAGUAUCAUGAACACCUCAACUCUUCAUGGUUUUCCAUGAUGAGCUUGGACUUUGGGGGUCUUGCUGGCCUGCGGUCGGCUCCUCUCAAAUGAAUCAGCUUACCAGUGUUUGGUGGGCAUCACAGGUGUGAUAACUAUCUGCGCUUGUGGUUUUCCACCAAGUAACCUUCAGCAGUGGAGGUUCACUGGAGCUCACAGACGUCUCUCCUCAGUGAGGACAGCCCUUUGAAUGUUUGAUCUCAAAUCAGGUAGGACUACCCGCUGAACUUAAGCAUAUCAAUAAGCGGAGGA